rnacentral:rRNA from 1 species
CUCGUAGGCGGUUUAUCGCGUCUGCCGUGAAAGUCCGGGGCUCAACUCCGGAUCUGCGGUGGGUACGGGCAGACUAGAGUGAUGUAGGGGAGACUGGAAUUCCUGGUGUAGCGGUGAAAUGCGCAGAUAUCAGGAGGAACACCGAUGGCGAAGGCAGGUCUCUGGGCAUUAACUGACGCUGAGGAGCGAAAGCAUGGGGAGCGAACA